AAAGGAAUUGACGGGGGCCCGCACAAGCAGCGGAGCAUGUGGUUUAAUUCGAAGCAACGCGAAGAACCUUACCUAGACUUGACAUCUCCUGAAUUACCCUUAAUCGGGGAAGUUCCUUCGGGAACAGGAAGACAGGUGGUGCAUGGUUGUCGUCAGCUCGUGUCGUGAGAUGUUGGGUUAAGUCCCGCAACGAGCGCAACCCUUAUUGUUAGUUGCUACCAUUUAGUUGAGCACUCUAGCGAGACUGCCCGGGUUAACCGGGAGGAAGGUGGGGAUGACGUCAAAUCAUCAUGCCCCUUAUGUCUAGGGCUACACACGUGCUACAAUGGCCGGUACAACGAGAUGCUAAACCGUGAGGUGGAGCAAAACUAUAAAACCGGUCUCAGUUCGGAUUGUAGGCUGAAACUCGCCUACAUGAAGCUGGAGUUGCUAGUAAUCGCGAAUCAGAAUGUCGCGGUGAAUACGUUCCCGGGCCUUGUACACACCGCCCGU
rnacentral:rRNA from 1 species